GACGAACGCUGGCGGCGUGCCUAAUACAUGCAAGUCGAGCGGACCAACCAGGAGCUUGCUCUUGUUUGGUUAGCGGCGGACGGGUGAGUAACACGUGGGUAACCUGCCCGUAAGACCGGGAUAACUCCGGGAAACCGGAGCUAAUACCGGAUAACACCGAAGACCGCAUGGUCUUUGGUUGAAAGGCGGCUUCGGCUGCCACUUACGGAUGGGCCCGCGGCGCAUUAGCUAGUUGGUGAGGUAACGGCUCACCAAGGCGACGAUGCGUAGCCGGCCUGAGAGGGUGACCGGCCACACUGGGACUGAGACACGGCCCAGACUCCUACGGGAGGCAGCAGUAGGGAAUCUUCCGCAAUGGACGAAAGUCUGACGGAGCGACGCCGCGUGAGCGAAGAAGGUCGUCGGAUCGUAAAGCUCGGUUGUUAGGGAAGAAGAAGCGCCGUUCGAACGGGGCGGCGCGGUGACGGUACCUAACGAGAAAGCCCCGGCUAACUACGUG
rnacentral:rRNA from 1 species